rnacentral:rRNA from 1 species
GUGGGGAAUCUUAGACAAUGGGCGCAAGCCUGAUCUAGCCAUGCCGCGUGAGCGAUGAAGGCCUUAGGGUUGUAAAGCUCUUUCAGCUGGGAAGAUAAUGACGGUACCAGCAGAAGAAGCCCCGGCUAACUCCGUGCCAGCAGCCGCGGUAAUACGGAGGGGGCUAGCGUUGUUCGGAAUUACUGGGCGUAAAGCGCACGUAGGCGGAUCAGAAAGUCAGAGGUGAAAUCCCAGGGCUCAACCUUGGAACUGCCUUUGAAACUCCUGAUCUUGAGGUCGAGAGAGGUGAGUGGAAUUCCGAGUGUAGAGGUGAAAUUCGUAGAUAUUCGGAGGAACACCAGUGGCGAAGGCGGCUCACUGGCUCGAUACUGACGCUGAGGUGCGAAAGCGUGGGGAGCAAACAGGAUUAGAAACCCCUGUAGUCC